rnacentral:lncRNA from 1 species
CAGCUGCUUCUUCUCUUUCUCUCCCCCACAGAGAGUCCGGAGGGCUGUGCUACCCCAAGAAGAGGAAGGAUCAGGGGGUGGGCAACUGGUAACUGAAGUCACCAAGAAAGAAGAUUCCUGCCAGCUGGGCUACUCGGCCGGUCCCUGCAUGGGAAUGACCAGCAGGUACUUCUAUAAUGGUACAUCCAUGGCCUGUGAGACUUUCCAGUAUGGCGGCUGCAUGGGCAACGGUAACAACUUCGUCACAGAAAAGGAGUGUCUGCAGACCUGCCGAACUGUGGGUGAGUGCGGGCCCCCACCCCUGUGCGCUCUGCACCCUCAAGACCCUGUCCCUCCAGUAAACCACCUGCGAAUUGAAAAGGUAGCUAACA